UGUAAGCGUAUACCAAAGUUGUUGCAGUUAAAACGCUCGUAGUCGGAAUUUGGCAGUACCGGAAGUGUGCACGUCGUGUGCGCACUUUGCGGGGACUGCUUUUGUGGUCUUGCGUAGGAUGAGGCACUUUCAUUAGUGAACGUCCUCACGCAACCACUCUUUACUGUGAGAAAAUCAGAGUGCUCAAAGCAGGCAUUUGCCGUGAAUGUAUUAGCAUGGAGUAAUAGAAUAGGACUCGGUUCUAUUUUGUUGGUUUGUUGGGACUGAGUAAUGAUUAAGAGGGACAGUUGGGGGCAUUUGUAUUCCGGCGCUAGAGGUGAAAUUCUUAGAUUGCCGGAAGACAAACUGCUGCGAAAGCGUCUGCCAAGGAUGUUUUCAUUGA
rnacentral:rRNA from 1 species